UAGAGGCUUUGCAUAUGCCGGGACGUCAGCCCAACGGCCAUACUGGAGUACCAAAACAGACACCGUAAUACUCAUACCUGUUUUUUAUCGGACGUAUAAUGGUGAACUUCUGUACUAUUGUUGGCUGCGGCAACAGAGGUGAUCGAAACAGGGGGCCGAAGUCAUUUUACAGGCUGCCGGUGGUUAUAACACACCAGGGUGAAGCAAUGUAUGCACUUUCAAAGCGUCGACGGGAAACAUGGCUCAAUAGGAUCGGACGGGAGGAUCUCAAACCAUCCAACCACAACUAUACUCGCGUUUGUGGGGAUCAUUUCACGUCAGGUAAACCAGUGACAAAAAUCAUCCUGACUGGGCACCGUCUGUCAAAUUGGGCCACGAGAAAAUUACAGCACCUUCCCCUGCUACACAUGCCAGGUAUAAACGCGCCAGAAAAAGGUCAUCCAUCGCACCACUUGAUCUCCACAGCAUGGUAUCUGAUAUUCCAUCUCCAGAAGAGCCCGCACCAGUCCUGGGAGCCACUGGGGAAGAAGAAGGACUGAUUGAACCAGAGACUGGCACUGCAACUCAGACUGAUUUGACUGGUGAAAUGAUUGACAAAAUGUCAUUUGAAAUUAAUAAUGUUACAACAGAAAAUGUUAAUGUUGUGGAAUAUUUUCCAAGGCCCAUAACUUUGACCCAGUGUAUCAGUUCAAACUGUCCUGACUGAGCACAGGCACCUGUAACCUUGGCUGCUGUGCUCUCAGUGUUUUGUCUCCCUGUUCCUGCCUGUUGGCGUCAGCUGAUAGAGGUGUUAUCAUUCUAUCUUGUUAUGCAGCAUGUUGAUGAUGCUCUCUGAACUAGUUAAAUACAUGGGUCUGGGGUAGAGUUCUUCAGAAUUGACGUGGCAACUCUACCGUGAAGUCAGAACCUCUGACUCUUGGACUUGUGAUGUGAAUCCUCCGGCCGUUAACUCCAAAUAAACCAUCAUGUGUUUGACAUCAAAGCUACUGCUCUUCCCGUGUCUCCUUCCUGAGUCGGUGACUCCCACUGCAUAGCUACACAGAAGUUUCCUCUACAGUUAACUUAAAAGAAAAGCUUGUAAAGUCCACAAUUUCAGAGAGUACAUUUAAGGGCGAUGAUGACCGUGUGCGGUUCUACACGGGACUUCCUACUUUUGCCAUUUUAAUGAUGGUAUACAAUCUUGUGGAACUGCACAUCAGUGUGAAUGCUAAGAGUUCACUGUCUAAAUUUCAACAGUUUAUACUGACACUAAUUAAAUUAAGAUUAAACGAACCCCUGCAAGAGCUGGCUUAUAAAUUCAACACAUCCACGUCUACAGUAUCCCGUGUGUUUACCUUGAUUAUCGACGUCAUGUUCAAACGUAUGAGUUUCCUUUUGAAGUGGCCAUCUCGAGAGGAACUCCAACUGACAAUGCCUAUGGAUUUCCGCACUCAUUUUGGUACUAAAGUGGCUGUUAUAAUAGACUGCUUUGAAGUUUUCAUUGACAGGUCAUCAAAUGUAAUGGCACGGGCUCAGACUUGGUCAAACUACAAACAUCACAACACCAUCAAAUUUCUCAUAGGAAUCUGUCCGCAGGGUGUUAUAUCAUUCAUUUCAAGGGCAUGGGGUGGCAGGUCCAGUGAUAAGCAUAUUACAGAAAAUUGUGGCUUCUUAGAUAACAUUUUGCCUGGUGAUUUGAUUUUGGCAGACCGAGGUUUCAAUAUAAGUGACUCAGUGGGUUUCAUGUGUGCUGAGGUUAAGGUGCCUGCAUUCAUGAAAGGCCGGAAACAAUUAUCAAUGAAAGAUGUUAUUGACACAAGGAAAAUUGCUAACGUGCGAAUUCAUGUUGAGCGUGUCAUAGGAUGUGUAAGGCAGCGAUAUACCAUUUUGGGAGGACCAAUUCCUAUAGAUUUUUUACUUUCUAAAGAUGUAGAUGGGAUUACAUUGAUGGAUAAAAUAGCUGAAGUGUGCUGCGACCUGAAUAAUGUGUGUGAUACUGUAAUACCUGUUGAUUGAGCCUUUACAUUCUGUUACACCCCAAUCAACCCAUAUCAGAUUGAAAAAUAUGAUAUGUUUGUAUUGUAAUUAUUAUUACAUUAUUGUCAAUGUUGUACUUGGUCAAUUAAAUGUCUUGAUAAUCAGAAAA